rnacentral:rRNA from 1 species
UACGGAGGGUGCAAGCGUUGUUCGGAAUCACUGGGCGUAAAGCGCGUGUAGGCGGCCCAUUAAGUCUGAUGUGAAAGCCCGGGGCUCACCCCCGGAAGUGCAUUGGAAACUGAUGGACUCGAGUCCCGGAGAGGAGGGUGGAAUUCCUGGUGUAGCGGUGAAAUGCGUAGAUAUCAGGAGGAACACCGGUGGCGAAGGCGGCCCUCUGGACGGUGACUGACGCUGAGACGCGAAAGCGUGGGGAGCGAACAGG